AAAAAGUUGGGAACCACUACUUGCAUCCAUAGUUCCACUGAGAAAACCAUGAAUGAAGCUGUUGGUAAAUUGAUAGCAGUUAUACUGCAGUUCCUAUCUUGGCACAACUUUCAUUCCUCAAAUCUGAUAAAAUGAAUUUCUGCCAAGUGCUUUUCUAUACAUAUUGUACAACAGAAUGCAGGUCAACUACAGCCUCAUGGACAAUUACAGAUUUUAAAAAAACCUGCAGAGAACAUGUAAUGGCAACCGCUAAAACAGAGGAAAGGGUUCACCGAAAAUCCCUCUGUCCAAACGGAAGCAAAGGUACUCCAAAAUUCUUAUAUUACAAUAAAAGGUAUGCUUAUUUUUAAAAAGAUACUACAGUAUGGUGCAUAAAUCACUUCUGAUUAAUGUUUUAUAAUUUAUAUAACAAGAGAUGAGUUAAACCUGGAGUGCCAAUUUAAUUUCAUAUAAUCAAAUUAUUUUUUUAAGGAAUGCUCUGCCAUUUAGUAGUUAAAUAACUUUGUUUACGCAGCCACAGUCAGACCUACCUGCAUGUGACUUAGUUAUCCUAAACACUUCCUGUAGCGAGAGCUCUAAUGUUUAAACUUCCUUUAUUGCACAGUGUGUUUAACCCCUUAAGGACUGAGCCAAAUGUACACGUUUUGAUCAAAAUAAAACUUAAUCAAAACUCGGAA